ACAGUGGACGCGAGCAUCUUUGUUGUAAGUGUUUAAGAGCGUACGGUGGAUGCCUUGGCACCAGGAGCCGAUGAAGGACGUAGGAGGCUGCGAUAAGCCUCGGGGAGCUGUCAACCGAGCUGAGAUCCGAGGAUGUCCGAAUGGGGAAACCCAGCCACAGUGAUGUGUGGUUACCCGCGCCUGAAUAUAUAGGGCGUGAGGAGGGAACGUGGGGAAGUGAAACAUCUCAGUACCCACAGGAAGAGAAAACAACAUGUGAUUCCGUGAGUAGUGGCGAGCGAAAGCGGAAGAGGCUAAACCAUGGGUGUGUGAUAGCCGGCGGGCGUUGCAUUCGUGGGGUUGUGGGAUCCGUCUUGUCAAUUCUGCCGGAUUGGCCGACAGUGAGAAAUCAUCGUGUUAGUCGAAGUGGUCUGGAACGGCCUGUCGUAGAGGGUGAGAGUCCCGUAGACGAAAACAUGGUGACUGUCGUGACGGACACCCGAGUAGCAGCGGGCCCGUGAAAUCUGCUGUGAAUCUGUCGGGACCACCCGAUAAGCCUGAAUA
rnacentral:rRNA from 1 species